CUGUGAUCUAGCUCCUCAUCCCGUGUGCUUGAGGACUGUGUUUACAUGCUGUUGUGACAGCCGUCCAACCCGGGAGCAGACAGAAAACAUGUACCGUGGAUGAGGGAAGACAUUCCGUGGAACAGGAGACAGUGUGCAGCUGCAGAGGGAAGGGGCUCGGAGGGCCUGGGAGUGAGACGGAGAGAGAGAAACAGGACUUAAUGAGUGACUCUGUGCCAGUGGAUCUGCAUGUUCCAGGGCUUUGCUUUGAGAAAGUACACUUCGAUACCAUCGUUACUAGACAGUCCUGUGGGGCUCCAUAACGACCAUAAAAUCUGCCUGUACUGGAGGACCAGACCAUCUGUACGUUACUGUAAAAAGAACAGAGAGAAAAGGACAAGCAGCGUCUUGUGGCUGGGUUUCCCCAAUGCCAACUGGCUGUGCUGGUUCCUUGACUGGUACGUUUCUAGCCAGCCCAGUUAAGGUAUGGUAGGUAAAGCCUACAGUACACUAUGUCCCUCUAGCUCAAUCCUUAGUUGAACACACAUUAUUUUCCACUUCUCUCUCUCGUCUAGGCCUAUAAAGUAUCUGUUGCAGAUGAAAUCCAUCAUCUGAUGUGAGUCUUCAAGACCGUUCUAGUUCAGUGGGAGAGGAAACCAAAGUAAACUAAAUCAAAAGAUUACAGUCUGGGUAAACACAGAUUAUGGGAAGAACGGGAUGAAGGAAAUAUGGAAACCAAAGGAUAAAACUACUUUGUAUUAGCACUGGUUUUCCUCCAUCUAAACCUGUUUGAGUUGGCCUCUGCGUUUUGGGGUUCUUUAAAUCUGUCUCACCACAUUUACUGUAAGUGUUGCUUUAGAUCAGACACUGAUACCUACUGCUGUGCUGAGAUACCAUAUCAACCAAUUAUUAAGCAUUUGAGCGUAAUGUUUGAAAAGCACUUUACAAAUAAUGUUCUCAUUGUCUAUGAUUAAUCAAACAACAUAUAGGAAAUACAAUGAUGAUGAGAUGGAGCGCUUAUUGUCCCCAUUCCCUUUCCCUCUUCUGUCCCUCAUCUCUCUCCCCCCAUCCCUCACUAUUCUCUUUUUCUUAGGAUAUCCCACAGUCUGCAGCAGCAUUAUUUGUUAUAUAUAUAUAUAUAUAUAUAUAUAUAUAUUUUUUUUACCCAUCCACAACCCUCUUCAGAGGACACACAUCUUGCUUUUCUGCUACAUAUACAUAUUUUGCAUACAUGGUACUUUUACAUAAAGCAAUCACAUAACAAUAAUACAUUACCAAACAAACUCUUUAAUCCCACCCCUCAGCCACUCUCAGCCCAUCCCACCUAUCAUCAUAGGCCACCCUCGUUUGGUUUCCAUGUGCCAUAUAUUUUUCAAUUGUGCUGUGAUGUUUUCCAUACAUUUUGAACUUUUCUAAUCGUAUAGUAUCCACAGAUUGUGAUCUAAAGAUGAGAACCUGUCACGACUUCCACCGAAGUCGGUCCCUCUCCUUGUUCGGGCGGCGUUCGGCGGUCGACGUCACCGGUCUUCUAGCCAUCGCCGAUCCACCUUUCAUUUUCCAUUUGUUUUGUCUUGUUUUCCCACACACCUGGUCAUCAUUCCCUCGUUACAUGUCGUGUAUUUAACCCUCUGUUCCCCCCAUGUCUAUGUGUGUAAUUGUUUAUUGUUGAGGUUGGCACGCUUCCGGCUGGUUUGCGCCGGGUUUAUUUUAUUACCCGUGCUUUGUGGCAGCCUGUACUUUGUACUUGUGUUUUUGUACUGUGUGCUGCCUCACUGGUUCGUUGGGCAUUUGUUUUGUGACGCAGUUGCGUUCUGUGCAAAUGAUUGCCUUAGUAAAGUGCUUUGUCCACUCA